rnacentral:rRNA from 1 species
GACAUAGGUGGCGAACGUUAUCCGGAAUUAUUGGGCGUAAAGGGUGCGUAGACGGUCUAGUAAGUUAGCAGCGGGAAAUCGAGGCCCAACCUCGUGGAAGCUGUUAGUACUGCUAUACUCGAGUGCAGGAGAGGUUAACGGAACUCAAUGUGGAGCGGUAAAAUGUGUAGAUAUAUUGAAGAACACCAAUAACGGCGAAGGCAGUUAACUAUUCUGCUACUGACGUUGAGGCACGAAAGCGUGGGGAGCAAAAAGG